rnacentral:rRNA from 1 species
UACGAAGGGGGCUAGCGUUGCUCGGAAUCACUGGGCGUAAAGGGUGCGUAGGCGGGUCUUUAAGUCAGGGUGAAUCCUGGAGCUCAACUCCAGAACUGCCUUUGAUACUGAGGAUCUUGAGUACGGGAGAGGUGAGUGGAACUGCGAGUGUAGAGGUGAAAUUCGUAGAUAUUCGCAAGAACACCAGUGGCGAAGGCGGCUCACUGGCCCGUUACUGACGCUGAGGCACGAAAGCGUGGGGAGC